rnacentral:rRNA from 1 species
UACAGAGGGGGCGAGCGUUGUUCGGAAUUAUUGGGCGUAAAGGGCGCGUAGGCGGCCUUCUAAGUCGAACGUGAAAUCCCCGGGCUCAACCCGGGAACUGCGUCCGAUACUGGGAGGCUUGAAUCCGGGAGAGGGAUGUGGAAUUCCAGGUGUAGCGGUGAAAUGCGUAGAUAUCUGGAGGAAUACCGGUGGCGAAGGCGGCAUCCUGGACCAUUACUGACGCUGAGGCGCGAAAGCUAGGGGAGCAAACGGG